rnacentral:piRNA from 1 species
UCCUCAAGAUGGAGUCCAAAGCUGUCUA